UACGGAGGGUGCAAGCGUUGUCCGGAUUUAUUGGGUUUAAAGGGUGCGUAGGCGGCCCGGUAAGUCAGUGGUGAAAGCCUCCAGCUCAACUGGAGAACUGCCAUUGAUACUGUCGGGCUUGAGUACAGACGAGGUUGGCGGAAUUGAUUGUGUAGCGGUGAAAUGCAUAGAUACAAUCAAGAACUCCGAUUGCGUAGGCAGCUAACUAGGCUGUAACUGACGCUGAGGCACGAAAGCGUGGGGAGCGAACAGG
rnacentral:rRNA from 2 species